UACGUAGGGGGCAAGCGUUGUCCGGAUUUAUUGGGCGUAAAGAGCGUGUAGGCGGCCAGACAGGUCAGCUGUGAAAACUCGAGGCUCAACCUCGAGACGUCGGUUGAAACCGUCUGGCUAGAGUCCGGAAGAGGGUCGCGGAAUUCCCGGUGUAGAGGUGAAAUUCGUAGAUAUCGGGAGGAACACCGGUGGCGAAGGCGGCGACCUGGGACAAUACUGACACUGAGGUGCGAAAGCGUGGGGAGCAAACAGG
rnacentral:rRNA from 1 species